GAUGAACGCUAGCGGCAGGCCUAACACAUGCAAGUCGAGGGGUAGAGUUAGCUUGCUAACUUGAGACCGGCGCACGGGUGCGUAACGCGUAUGCAAUCUACCUUAUACAGAGGGAUAGCCCAGAGAAAUUUGGAUUAAUACCUCAUAGUAUUAUUGAAUGGCAUCAUUUGAUAAUUAAAGUUCCAACGGUAUAAGAUGAGCAUGCGUCCCAUUAGUUAGUUGGUAAGGUAACGGCUUACCAAGACAAUGAUGGGUAGGGGUCCUGAGAGGGAGAUCCCCCACACUGGUACUGAGACACGGACCAGACUCCUACGGGAGGCAGCAGUGAGGAAUAUUGGUCAAUGGGCGCAAGCCUGAACCAGCCAUGCCGCGUGCAGGAUGACGGUCCUAUGGAUUGUAAACUGCUUUUAUAGUAGAAUAAAGUGACCUACGUGUAGGUUUUUGUAUGUAUACUAUGAAUAAGGAUCAGCUAACUCCGUGCCAGCCGCCGCAGUAAUAC
rnacentral:rRNA from 1 species